ensembl:lncRNA
CAGUAACCGUGAACUAACCGACUACCGGUGUUAGUAACCGUUGAACUACUACUACGUGUUAGUAACCGUGACUACUACUACCGGUGUUAGUAACCGUGAACUACGACUACUACUACCGGUGUCAGUAACCGUGAACUACUACUACCGGUGUUAGUAAACCGUGAACUAUACUACCGGGGUUUAGUAACCGGGAACUACUACUACGGUGUGAGUAACCGUGAACUAUACUA